rnacentral:rRNA from 1 species
UACGUAGGGUGCGAGCGUUAAUCGGAAUUACUGGGCGUAAAGCGUGCGCAGGCGGUUUUGUAAGUCAGAUGUGAAAUCCCCGGGCUUAACCUGGGAACUGCGUUUGAAACUACAAGGCUAGAGUGUGGCAGAGGGGGGUGGAAUUCCACGUGUAGCAGUGAAAUGCGUAGAGAUGUGGAGGAACACCGAUGGCGAAGGCAGCCCCCUGGGUUAACACUGACGCUCAGGCACGAAAGCGUGGGGAGCAAACAGGAUUAGAAACCCCCGUAGUCC